CCCGUAGACGUUUUUCCACUCUCGACGGCCGCCGCUACGGCUGCUACAUUCGCGGCGGCCGCUGUCUUCCGUGGAUCCUCCCAUGUCGUGGUUCUCGUCAAAUGACUGCAAUUGAAAAUCAUCUUCCUCGUCCAGUCUGAGGAGGACUACGACGCAGAAACUGAAUACGCCGGGUACGUUAGUUUAUCUCGACAUAGUGGCAGGGGCGCCCAAAAUAGUUCCAUUCAAAAGACGAAACGUAGGAAGGAGAAGGCUGGCCAGGGAGGCUAGGUAUAAGAGAGAAGUAGGGGGCGUAAGGAAGACCAGGAAGCUGAUAUAGGCAGAGAAAAUUCACGAGAGAAGGAAGAGUGGAUAAAAAAAAUGGCGAAGAUAGGACACAUAUAGUUGGUGGCUACUGGUCGUGCAGACUCUUGAGUGGAACGGACUUAUCCGGAUGGGCAAUAAGUAUAGAAAGAGAUUGUUUUGCAGGCCACGUGUGACGUCAGGGCUUUCGAUAUACAUAUGUCGGAACCGUGGCACGUGGUGAUGUCACGGCGGCUUCCUGGCGUCGAGGGCGGCCUUAUUGGCGAGCGCCACGUGAGAGAUCGCCGCCCGGCUAAAUCCCCCCAGAUCCCUCGUUCGCGGAUUGUUAAGAACGGCUUUACGAGGAUAAAGCCGUACGGCUGACGGUUUUAGCCGUAGCAAACAGCCACGCAUCCACCACGACAAAAAUAGCGGCUAAUGGCUCCGAUUGCCGAUCGUGGUUUCCCUUCUCUCUCUUUCUUUCCUUUCCCCCCGUCGCAGUUUCUUCGCUGGGCAAGAAGUAGAGGAGCCUCUCGUGCCCCCCUUUUUUAAACCUCUUUUUAUCCCUUUUUAUCUCUGCCUCCUCUUCGCACUAUUUUUAUUACCUCCUUUUUUUAACCUUUCUCACUUUUUUUUUCUUCUUUUUCUCAUCGUCAAGAGAGAGAGAGAAAACGAAAUAUAUAUCUGCUGGGGAAAUCCCGACGACUUGUUUACGUCCCCCCGACGGCGUCGUAGCGCUACGGAAACGUCGACGGGCUGACCUUUUGUUUCCAGCAACUUCCGCCGGAAGUGAACUCGUUGAUACUCCAGGCGAAGGGGAUACCAAAAUAAUAAACCACAGCCGAUUGAUUCUUUGCUUCUCUCUUCUUCCACGAUACAUAUUGCUUGAUACGGAUACGGUGAUCCCGCAGAGGAUCAUCAUCCUGAUGGAGGAAAACGUCUUGUCCAGGAACGAUCGACGAAGAAAGAUGCUCCAGGUGAAAAUAGCAGCGAGCAAACGAGUGUAUGGACGCGACAGCAGGAGCUAGAGGAGAAAAGCCCAAGACGUACGGGGCAGGCGAGAAGGGAGGGAGGCACUGAGUCUCUCAGCGACACCGGCCAUUCCGCGAAGUGUACUAUAUGACUGCCCGGUUAAUAAAUCCUCGCGCAGCAAAACAGAGAGCAGCUCUAUACAAUGCAUCCUGGCAGUCAUUCACGUGGGAAUAUCCGCAGAGCGUAGAUCGCCAGAAGUCACAAGGGAUGUUUUGGUAGAGAAGCUCUAGAAAGUAUCAGACGUCUGGCACACGGGUAACAGAGAGGUAUAAAAAAACUGGUAUAAAAGGAAGUUGCAAGAAAAAAAAACAAUAAGGAGGAGUAGGACAUACGAUGCAUCGGUCCGCCACGAUCGGGGAGUUUGAGGUUUCGAAGCGUCGCGAGGCGUCUCUGUGAGAGCUGGCAGCCUUCCAAGGAGUGAAGCUGACUCGGUUGGAGAAGGUGGCGAAGAAGCAGAAGAAGCAGAGGGCAGUGAGGAUACACCGAGGACCUCAGGAAGCGUUUGCACGAGAAUACACAGUACACAGACGGGAGACGCGCCUUGAACUUUUCGAUAGGAUCGUCUAUACGGUAGACAAGAUUUAUCCUCGGAUCUGGCAUUCGGCGUGGCAGCGUGCGAUACAGGCUGAUACUACCUUGGUUACAGGUGUGCCCGGGGUCUUUAGCCUCGGCAUGGCGAAAUAACAGUGACAAGUGCCGCGGCCGGUCAAGAUCAAAGCGCUAUGGAUUCAAACGUGUCCCUCUCUUUCCGCCAUACCUCUACGUCCACGCUGUAGAAACUCUACGUAUACUUAAGAACGCACGAUUCUACCUUGAGGUUAUAAUACCGGCUGCCGAUGCUUAUUUGAAUUCGUGGAACUGCUGGGUUAUUUACAGGUAUACCAGCAUUACUACUGUAUCCACUGAUUCUUCCAGCGUCUCGUGCCACGUCGCAAAUAUACGCACGUUUCGACACGUGUGGACGCACACGUAGCGACUCUCACGCAAUGUCUCUUUCGAAGCCAGUAGCGUAGUGUAUGUACACGCGACCCUGGACAUAACGGCCGACUGUUUGUCCCCUGUCCAGAAGACUUUCACCCACCUGGAGACUGGCGUUACCUUCGAAAAAUACGCGUUCUAAAGGAAUUCGAGAAAAACGAAGCUUCGCCAAGUGUAUCGACAAGAGGUAAUAGGUAAUGGCGUCCUUUAAGAUUUUAUUGAUUAGCGAUCCCCCUGUCAUUUAUUUUCAUGCGAACGACUGUUUUCGCGUGUCGGGAUAGUCGGGCUCUGAUCCUUUACUUUAACCUCGUACAGCGAGAGCCAGUUAAAUUUUCAUGAAAAUUCUUCUAUUCGUCUUUCAGGUUGCUCGUAGUUUCGUCCGAUGCUAAAUUAACUUCGAUCAAACCCCCUUUUGGCGGUGGCAGAUCAAAGAAGGCAAAAUCUAAAGAUGUAAUUGGACGGAUGGACAGCCGGUUUCGCGGUAUCCGUUACUCCU